rnacentral:rRNA from 1 species
UACGGAGGGUGCAAACGUUGCUCGGAAUUAUUGGGCGUAAAGCGCACGUAGGCGGUCCGACAAGUCGGAUGUGAAAGCCCUCGGCUCAACCGAGGAAGUGCAUUCGAAACUGUCGGACUUGAGUACGGGAGAGGAUUGCGGAAUUCCCGGUGUAGAGGUGAAAUUCGUAGAUAUCGGGAGGAACACCAGUGGCGAAGGCGGCAAUCUGGACCGAUACUGACGCUGAGGUGCGAAAGCGUGGGGAGCAAACAGG